rnacentral:rRNA from 1 species
AACGGCCAUACCAUGCUUAAUAUACCGGUUCUCGUUAGAUCACCGAAGUCAAGCAUCAUUGGGCGCGGUCAGUACUUGGGUGGGUGACCACCUGGGAACACCGUGUGCCGUU